rnacentral:rRNA from 1 species
GUCUACGGCCAUGCCACCCUGAACAAGCCCGAUCCCAUCUGAUCUCGGAUGAGAUCAAGCAGAGUCGGGCCUGGUUAGUACUUGGAUGGGAGACCACCUAGGAAGACCAGGUGCUGUAGGUG